rnacentral:rRNA from 1 species
UACGUAGGGACCAAGCGUUGUUCGGAUUUACUGGGCGUAAAGGGCGCGUAGGCGGCUUGACAAGUCACUUGUGAAAUCUCCGGGCUUAACUCGGAACGGCCAAGUGAAACUGUCAUGCUAGAGUGCAGAAGGGCAAUCGGAAUUCUUGGUGUAGCGGUGAAAUGCGUAGAUAUCAAGAGGAACACCUGAGGUGAAGACGGGUUGCUGGGCUGACACUGACGCUGAUGCGCGAAAGCCAGGGGAGCAAACGGG